CCUCACCUCAUCACGUCCUCUUCACCACUCCCCACUCCGAUCCCACCACCGGAAAAUUCGAUUGCUUCCUCUCUCUUGUUUUGCAUUUGGCAGUCUCAAUGGGAGAUUUAUACACAUGACUGAAGAUCAUCAAGUGAUUAGCUUGCCCGAGAGAAAAUGAUUCCAAGAUGCAGGACUAUCAUUGAGAGAUGGAGAGAAUCGGAUCUUUCGUAUAAACCUUGCAAAGAUGCUUGAAGACAAAUUUCCAAAGCAGCAAGAUGGCUGUUUAAGUGCAGAGACAUAUAUAUGUCUGUGCAUAUCGAUCAAUCUAGUAAAGAUGUAUUUGCUCAAUUGACUAGGUAACAUACACGUAAUAAGUUUGUCCCUUGUUCUCAUUCUUUUUUGCUUAUUCUAAUAA